AUUGAACGCUGGCGGCAUGCCUUACACAUGCAAGUCGAACGGCAGCAUGGGUGCUUGCACCUGAUGGCGAGUGGCGAACGGGUGAGUAAUGCAUCGGAACGUACCCGGAAGUGGGGGAUAACGUAGGGAAACUUACGCUAAUACCGCAUGCGCCCUUCGGGGAAGGCCGGGACCGUAAGGCCUGGCGCGAUUGGAUGAGCCCACUGUCGGAUUAGCUAGUUGGCGGGGUAACGGGCCCGACCAAGGCGACGAUCCGUAGCUGGUCUGAGAGGAUGAUCAGCCACACUGGAACUGAGACACGGUCCAGACUCCUACGGGAGGCAGCAGUAGGGAAUAUUGGACAAUGGGCGCAAGCCUGAUCCAGCCAUGCCGCGUGAGUGAAGAAGGCCCUCGGGUUGUAAAGCUCUUUUGUCCGGAAAGAAAGCACUGGGUUAAUACCCCGGUGUCCUGACGGUACCGGAAGAAUAAGCACCGGCUAACUUCGUGCCAGCAGCCGCGGUAAAG
rnacentral:rRNA from 1 species